rnacentral:rRNA from 1 species
AACGAACGCUGGCGGCAGGCCUAACACAUGCAAGUCGAACGGGUGUAGCAAUACAUCAGUGGCGCACGGGAGAGUAACGCGUGGGAACCUACCUUUUGGUUCGGAAUAACAUCGGGAAACUGACGCUAAUACCGGAUAAGCCCUACGGGGGAAAGAUUUAUCGCCGAAGGAUGGGCCCGCGUUAGAUUAGCUUGUUGGUGAGGUAACGGCUCACCAAGGCUACGAUCUAUAGCUGGUCUAAGAGGAUGAUCAGCCUCACUGGGACUGAGACACGGCCCAGACUCCUACGGGAGGCAGUAGUGGGGAAUAUUGGACAAUGGGGGCAACCCUGAUCCAGCCAUGCCGCGUGAAUGAUGAAGGCCUUCGGGUUGUAAAGUUCUUUUGGCGGGGACGAUGAUGACGGUACCCGCAGAAUAAGCUCCGGCUAACUUCGUGCCAGCCGCCGCAGUAA